AACGAGCGCUGGCGGCAUGCCUAACACAUGCAAGUCGAACGAGACCUUCGGGUCUAGUGGCGCACGGGUGCGUAACGCGUGGGAACCUGCCCUUAGGUUCGGAAUAACUCCCCGAAAGGGGUGCUAAUACCGGAUAAUGUCCUCGGACCAAAGAUUUAUCGCCUUUGGAUGGGCCCGCGUUGGAUUAGCUAGUUGGUAGGGUAAAAGCCUACCAAGGCGACGAUCCAUAGCUGGUCUGAGAGGAUGAUCAGCCACACUGGGACUGAGACACGGCCCAGACUCCUACGGGAGGCAGCAGUGGGGAAUAUUGGACAAUGGGCGAAAGCCUGAUCCAGCAAUGCCGCGUGAGUGAUGAAGGCCUUAGGGUUGUAAAGCUCUUUUACCCGGGAUGAUAAUGACAGUACCGGGAGAAUAAGCUCCGGCUAACUCCGUG
rnacentral:rRNA from 1 species